GGGAGUGCAGUAAUCAGGCAGUGCUGCAGGAAAGCACACAGUCACUCCCACAGAUGGGGAUUUGACUAUGACUGCAUGUGCUGAUUCCCUUGUGGUUCUCCCUGAGGGCUCAUGUGGCAACUGGGGAAACAUGGACCUGCAUGCUUCCUCUUGCUUCCUCUUCCUCCCUUUCCUAGGAAGCAGGAUCCUACAAAUGAUAUGCAGUUAGUCCCUCUAUUGAACCACCACAACUUCUGCAUUGUAUCUUCAGAGGAAAAGCUGUAUUUUCUUUCAGAUGAAUGCCUCUACACCUUUCCUGUACUUAACAUGGUUCAUAAGUUGCAGCUAAACACACACAGAGAGACCUUGCCAAAGAGAUCAGCAGGACAGGAGCAACAGCAGCUAAACAGUAACGCUGGACGCAGGAGAGAUUAGUUUAAAAAGUGAUUGACUGACAUCAAAGCCACUUUUCUCCUUGUGCAAACCCUCUCUACAGUGAGUGAAUUUCUAGAUUACAAUGCAUGGGAAUUUUGAUCAGUUCUGAUAGGAUAAAAUAUUGCUCUAAUGAAGAAUGAAAUUGUUCAAGAAACACACUGGAGGAAUUCUGAAUGUCCUUUAAAACCCCAGAAGAGCAAGAAAAUAAGAUGUUAACAGAACUGGAUGAACAGAAUCAUAACAGACCUUAAAGAGCUGCUUAUCCAGGUGACACCCUUCUUCAGGGUGUCACAUCUGCAUGAUGACACUCGGGAUUAAUGAGCACAGUUCAACCAGUUGCAGGGGUUGUCUUUCUUUACAGAGCUCACCUGGUGAGUAGCACAGUCCCCUCCAUUGCUGGAUGGGGCAGUCACAGCCCCUUGUCUGGGAUCAGCCUGCAAGAGCCUGGCUGUGCUCAAGUGGUGGUGCUGCAGCAGAGGGGCAGCAGCAAACUGUCCCCCAGCACCAGGAGCCUGGGAUCUCCACUCUCCUGGGAUCUCUGCCCCAUGUGGCAGGCUUCCUCACUGUGCCAGCAAGUUAUUACACCAAGGAAUCGCUCAGGGACCUAUAUCAUAUGGCUUGCACUUGUAUUGAUGGCAGACUAUUGACUGAUACAUUAAUUUCACCUAUAAUAUGUACUUAAAAUUUUAAUUAUUCACCUCAUAAACCAUGAAAGAAAAUGUCCUUGUCAAUCAGGUAGUUAAAAAUCUCCUGUUUCUAAAUAUUGUAAGGAUUUUGAAAUGCCCAGCACUAUUUGUUACUAAAAAAUCCUGCUGGCUAAAAUAUUUUUUUUUAUUGUAAAUGGUGAACUUCUCUGUUAUUGCUGCUAUGUAGUUUCUGGUAUAAAUGUCUUGACUCUGGAAAGGCAAGCCUAUUGGGGGUAACAAAAAUAGUUAAAAGGGGGAUGGUCAAGAAAAGGAGUUAUUUUUUAACAUGUAAAGAUAAUAUUGAUUAAGACAUGAUAAUGAAGUAAUAAAAUUAAUUCUUGUCAUACAAGAGACCACAAAAUAGCACAGCUUUCCUUGUCAGUGUUGGGUGUGGGGGUGUCUUUCCCACAUGCUCCAUGCUUACUUGGAAUAUAUAGGGAGAACAGUAUGGUUUAUUUUUAAAGUAAAAUUUGCUAUACCAGCUAAUGUUACAGUAAAAAAACUAAUCAUCAUUUCAGGCUCUGCUGCCUCUUUGCAAACAAGAUCUAGGAAGCAAUGCUGCCUUUCUCUGCAGGCUGUUUGUGUUUCAGUAUAAAAUGGCAAAUGUGCCCUAUGUUAGCUGGCAUUUUGUGUCUUCUAGGAAGGAAAGGUGCUUCCUUAUUGUCAUUUAUGAAGCUGGAAAGAAGAGUGGCUGAAUCAUAAAAUACAAGCAUGUAUACAAUGCAAUAGAUAGAAUAUAUGCCAGCAAAGCACUGGUUUUCACAAAGCUGGAAAGAUUUCUUAGUUUUAUGUGUCUAUUGCACUGAGAUGUAUUCUCUCAUUGAAUUUCAGCACUAGGAAUGAGGUAAAUCAAGAUCUUAGGUGAUGUAUCUCUUUUCAUGGACACAUAUUCAAUGUGAAGUUUUAAAAGUAAGCAGGGAAAGAGAGUACCAAAUCUCAUUCAAUUUCUAUGGGAAACAGUUGCCUAAUAAUAAUUUAUACCUUUCAAGUAUAUAUUUGAGUGUGGAAAACAUUUGGUGAUGCUUAGUGUUCGUUAUGUGGCUUCCCUGAAAUAGAACAAGUGCCAUGAGAAUUUGUGGAGGGAGGAAUAAUAGAUCUUAAUAAGCUCUUCACUUAAUUGUUGGGUACUGUAAAUUUGCCUCUGUGGAACUGU